GUUGACAGCUAUACCUUUCUCAUUGUUGGGCAUCACAAAAGCAAGACUGACAACUUCCACAUCACCAUGGGUGCUCAAUGUUGGAGUUAAUGGACAGAGCUCAUCAGGCCAGUGUUAGUUCAACUCUCCACCCACAGGCGCCCACACAUUUCACUUCUACAGCUGGAGACUAUGAGACAAGUCGGAGCCAUUUUGUUCCUCACAUGCAGCUCUACAGGGCACAUCCAUACUUACGCAACCAGAAGAAAAGACUAUGCUUCUAUGAUACUGAUGCUGUUCCCCUCCCUUAAGGAUUCAUACACCAAGGAAGGCUAUGAACACUUCUAUGAUGCUGCAAGCAGCACAGGAUACAUUUCUCAGCAUCUGAAAACAGUCCAGAAGAAGGUCAGCAUCCCCAUCUUGCACUGGCUUUCAAGCUGCAGUUUGGAGGAGCAUCUCCACAACCAGCGUGGUCCAACUUCUACAUCACCACGG